GACCACAGCCAUAUCACUCUGCAGCCCAAGACUGGUUGCCCACUGAAGCUAAGCAGGGUUGAGCCUGGUCAGCACCUGGAUGGGAGACCUCCUGGGAAAACUAGGUUGCUGUUGGAA
rnacentral:rRNA from 1 species